UAAAAGUGUCCCAGCAUGAGGAGACUGACGCGUCAAACUGGUGAUAUGAGAAAAACAGAAUGCAGCUUUCAAGGUUUGUUUCAAGGAGAUGACAUGUGGGAUUCUGAGAGAUGCUGCCGCCCAUGACGUGUUGGAAUUAUCAUGAUCUACUACCCAGUUUGGAUUUCACCCAGUGGUCAAGAGCUUUGCAUGGUAGACAGCAAGGGUUGGAUUUUUAAAAAGA